GACGUAGGGGACGAGCGUUGUCCGGAUUCAUUGGGCGUAAAGCGCGCGUAGGCGGUUUGGUAAGUCGGAGGUGAAAACCAGAGGCUCAACCUCUGGCCUGCAUCCGAUACUGCCCGACUAGAGGUAGGUAGGGGGGAUCGGAAUUCCUGGUGUAGCGGUGAAAUGCGCAGAUAUCAGGAGGAACACCGGUGGCGAAGGCGGAUCUCUGGGCCUUACCUGACGCUGAGGCGCGAAAGCUAGGGGAGCAAACAGG
rnacentral:rRNA from 1 species